rnacentral:lncRNA from 1 species
ACAUUAUUAAGUAGUAGCGGUACGUGUAGUAUUAUGAAGGAUUGUAAAGUAAGAACUUCCUUUCUAUAUAAAGGAAGGUAUAUGUAAAUGAAAAGGCAGGUAACGCCUAAGACAAUAAAAAUCCUCUUUCAUAAAAAUACUCUCUCAACUAAGAUAAAUAUUUAAAAUACUAAUGGAAAAAUAUGAAAUCCAAUCAGAUAUUUCAGAUAGCAUGGCUAAGCAAGAGGC